rnacentral:rRNA from 1 species
CCUACGGGAGGCAGCAGUGAGGAAUAUUGGUCAAUGGGCGCGAGCCUGAACCAGCAAAGUCGCGUGAGGGAGGACGGCCCUACGGGUUGUAAACCUCUUUUGCCGGGGAGCAACGGGCGUCACGUGUGGCGCCACUGAGAGUACCCGGAGAAAAAGCAUCGGCUAACUCCGUGCCAGCAGCCGCGGUAAUACGGAGGAUGCGAGGGUUAUCCGGAUGUAUUGGGUUUAAAGGGUGCGUAGGCGGUCAGUUAAGUCAGUGGGCAAGUUAAGGGGCUCAACCCCUUCCCGCCAUUGAAACUGGCGUUCUUGAGUGGAAGAGAAGUAUGCGGAAUGCGUGGUGUAGCGGUGAAAUGCAUAGAUAUCACGCAGAACCCCGAUGGCGAAGGCAGCAUGCCGGCUUCCGACUGACGCUGAAGCACGAAAGCGUGGGGAUCGAACAGGAUUAGAUACCCCAGUAGUC